CUUAGUAGUUAGGUCAAACAUUCACUUUCAUACCUCAAACCUAUUUUAUCUCUUCAAAUUUUCGACUCCUUUUCAUUUACUCCUUCUCCUUUACUUUCUGACGCGUCCCUUCCUUUGUUCUUAUAGUUGUUUUCGAAAACUCCUUCUUUAUAGUUGUUCUAAUAUUAUCACCGUUUUACUUUGAUCUGAAAUUUUUUGUUGCAACUCUCCUUCUUUGCAAAGGAGAACGUUGUUGUUUCAAUUUCACAAUCGCUCGAGUGGAGGACCCUUCUUUCGACCAUUAAAACGAAGCACAUCAUGCGUACGUUGAGGCCACAUGUGUGUCGUUAGAGAUAAAAACGACUGAGGCUGUGCUACAAAUGGUGCAAGUAAGUACCCAAUCUGCCAAUCGUUAUAUCUUAUGUGACAAUUGGAGUUUUGGUGUAUCCUCUCCUCUGUUUUCAUUUAAUGAUUUGGUGUCAACAUUUAAUCUUCAGAGAACCCAUCCCCUUGAACUGUUAGGCAAUGGGAUUUUUAAGACGCCUUCUCUAUGCUGCUUGGUUAUUCAUGUUAGUUUAGGAAUGAAUAAGAAGCAUGGAUAUUACCUAAAUUACAAUUUGUGCCACAGGGCCCACAUGAAGCCAUCUCGAUAACGCAACCAAAACCUCAAAGCUAUCUCAAUGAUUCCAAACAAAUCCAUGAAGAUUUAAUGGCAUACAAAAGACAAGAAAGAAGAGCCAAAACAAAUAUGCUAAAGAUGGUUUUUCCUUAACGGAUAAGAGAACUUAGUAAAACUGGUCAUAUCCUUUUUAUGUGCUUAGAAAAUCAGAUGUUGUAGCCAGUGAGAUAUGAAAAGAAGUCUCAUAUUUUGAAGUCUUACCAAAAUUUGAAUCAACAAUCUUUUUAA